AAAACAACAAAAAAACAA
rnacentral:sRNA from 1 species